UACGUAGGGGGCGAGCGUUGUCCGGAUUUAUUGGGCGUAAAGAGCUCGUAGGUGGUUUGGCAAGUCGGGUGUGAAAACUCCGGGCUCAACUCGGAGACGCCACUCGAUACUGCUAUGACUCGAGUCCGGUAGGGGAGUGCGGAAUUCCUGGUGUAGCGGUGAAAUGCGCAGAUAUCAGGAGGAACACCGGUGGCGAAGGCGGCACUCGUGGGCCGGUACUGACGCUGAGGAGCGAAAGCGUGGGGAGCGAACAGG
rnacentral:rRNA from 1 species